UACGUAGGGGGGCAAGCGUUGUCCGGAUUCAUUGGGCGUAAAGAGCGUGUAGGCGGCCAGGUAGGUCGGUUGUGAAAACUGGAGGCUCAACCUUCAGAGGUCGACCGAAACCAUCUGGCUAGAGUCCGGGAGAGGAGAGUGGAAUUCCUGGUGUAGCGGUGAAAUGCGCAGAUAUCAGGAAGAACACCCCGUGGCGAAAGCGGCUCUCUGGAACGGUACUGACGCUGAGACGCGAAAGCGUGGGGAGCAAACAGG
rnacentral:rRNA from 1 species